rnacentral:misc_RNA from 1 species
CAACCCUCGCCCCCGGCUUCUGUCGGGGACGGUGUUGGGGAUCGGCCUCCCGUCUUUUCGGGGGGCCGGCCCCUAAAUUGAGUGGCGACCACGUCGUAACCUCCUCUGCGUAGUAGUUAAACACUCGCGGGCGGAGAGCGAUGCGGCCUGCCGUAAAACCCCCAACUCUUCUAA